rnacentral:rRNA from 1 species
UAGAGAAUCUGCCCUGUACUGGGGGACAACAGAGGGAAACUUCUGCUAAUACCCCAUAUGAGCGUACCUGCGAUGGUAUUCUUGAAAGUUCCGGCGGUACAGGAUGAGUCUGCAUCUGAUUAGCUAGUUGGUGGUGUAAUGGACUACCAAGGCGACGAUCAGUAGCUGGUUUGAGAGGAUGAUCAGCCACAAUGGGACUGAGACACGGCCCAUACUCCUACGGAAGGCAGCAG